GAGACACCCCUCUGGGGCAAGACUUGCUUCAAUGGGGCUUUGGUGCUCACUGAGUCUUCCCCCUGAGUGUGUCCUU
rnacentral:pre_miRNA from 1 species